rnacentral:rRNA from 1 species
AUGGACAGUGGAUGCACUAAUCACAUGACUGGCGAUCGGAGUCUUCUGAUGGAUUCAACGCUGCGUCCAUCAGACAAGAGCCACAUCACAUUUGCUGACACUGGUAAAAGCAAGGUAUUGGGCCUAGGUAGAGUUGCAAUCUCAAGGGAUCAGCACAUGGACAAAGUGAUGCUUGUUGAAUCCCUUGGUUUCAACUUAAUGUCGGUCUCAAUGCUUUGUGACUUAAACAUGAUUGUGCUAUUUGGAAAAAAUCGUUGCCUUGUACUAAUGGAAUCUGACAAGUCUCUAGUCUUCGAAGGGUACAGGAAAGAUGAUCUGUAUAUGGUAGAUUUCUCAGCAGGUCCACAGAUGGCCGUAUGUCUUCUUGCAAAAGCUUCAGAAUGCUGGCUUUGA